ensembl:lncRNA
UAGCAGCCCUGGGGGCUGGGGACCGGAGUUGUACCUAGUUUAGGUCUCCAGAUCUUUAGGGACUGCUUGAUUCUUUCCCACGGGGUCAGUGGGAUGGGGACAAGAGUGGGCAGGGACAUCCAUCCAGGCAGGGAAUUUCAUCCCGUUCUCUGCCAGGGGUGCGCUCCCAGAGUGUGGUUAACCCGUGCACGGGACAGAACUUGUAAGAAGACUCAGGGUCAGGCCCCAGCUGAUUCCGCAUGCAAGUGACAUGUGGUCUUUGUCUUUCUUUCACACUUCACAACCACAUAGUGUGUGCCCCAGAAAAGCCAGGCUGUGAGAAAGGCCGCAUGGUUGUUCUGUGGAAAAGCUAUUUCUAGGGAAGAAAAAAAAAAGGAUAAAAGCUUCACAGGGCUUUUCUGGUGGUCCAGUGAUUAAGCCUACCAAAGCAAGGGGACACGGGUUUGAUCCCUGGUCCAGGAAGAUCCCGCACACCAAGAAGCAACUACACCUGUGAGCCACAGCUACUGAGUCCACGGUGCUGCAACUACUGAGGCCUGUGCACCCAGAGCUCGCGUUCCCCAACACGAGGAGCCACUGCAACGAGACGCUCGUGCCCGGCAACAAGGAGCAGCCCCCGCUCGCUGCAGCUGGACAAAGCCUGCAUGCAGCACAAAGACCCAGCACGGCCAAAAUAAAUAAAUAAAUCUUCUCUGAAAAAGAGAAAUUUUCA